AUUGAACGCUGGCGGCAGGCCUAACACAUGCAAGUCGAGCGAGCGGCGGACGGGUGAGUACUGUCUGGGAAACUGCCUGAUGGAGGGGGAUAACUACUGGAAACGGUAGCUAAUACCGCAUACCAUCAGAUGUGCCCAGAUGGGCUUAGCUAGUAGGUGGGGUAACGGCUCACCUAGGCGACGAUCCCUAGCUGGUCUGAGAGGGUGACCCGCCACACGGGAACUGAGACACGGUCCAGACUCCUACGGGAGGCAGCAGGGGGGAAUAUUUCACAAUGGUCGAAAGCCUGAUGCAGCCAUGCCGCGUGUGGGAAGAAGGCCUUCGGUUUGUAAAGCACUUUCGUCGGGGAGGCGUUACCCGCAGAAGAAGCACCGGCUAACUCCGUGCCAGCAGCCGCGGUAAUAC
rnacentral:rRNA from 1 species